CUUUAGAGGGUCAGGGCCAUUAAGCCACAGAUGGCUACCCUGACCACUCCUGGAUGUGUUGUUCCUGUAGGCUUCCCUCUGGGCAUACAAGAGAUGGGCCAUGGGGCUGGAGGGGGCAGAGGCAGUGCAGCUGGUUUGGGGCUUGAUGGGUUCCUUUCAAGAUCGCUCUGAGCUCACCCUGUCCUGCUCUAGGUAAACAUUUACAAUCACGGGCGCACAUGGCCCUGACUGUGGGAGGAGGCCGUGGAUUUUUGCUGGAAAAAACAAGUGUCUCUUUUCUUUGUUUUUGAGACAGGGUCCUCACUAUGUAGUCCAGGCUGACCUUGAACUUACUAUGUAGCCUAGGGCGGCCUCGAACUCCAAGUGAUCCUCCUGCCUCAGCCUCUCGAGUGCUGGGAUUACAGGAGUGCACCACCAAGCCCAGCUGAAAAAGCAGGUUUUACAAAUGCUCAUUCAGUGUGAUCCCCUAGUGGAAAAUGAGUACAGUAAAGUGGUACAUAGAGGAAAUAUGGAGAAAAUCCCCCGAUUCAGCAUUGUUCAUCCAUGGAGGGCUCAGAUGAGGGUAAUUUUAACUUCCUGCAUUCUGUAUGUUUCUAUGAUGUUUAAGUGUUUAACCCUGCACAUGUAAUACUUUGGCAAUUAGAAUGGUCAACAAAGAAGAAUGGUUUUGGGGGGGCUCCACCCCUCACCAUCACCUUUUCUACACUUUCUAAACAGCCCCCAAGCUGGUUCAGGGAGCCCUGCUUCCCUAUAACCAGAGAGUGUUUUUGUGUCCUAAAAGAUUUUGUUCUGAGUGUGCAGCAUUAAUUAUUAAAGAGCUGCGUUCAAUCCUCUCAGCCAAGUUUAAUGUUUAGUUUGAGGACUGAAAAACUAAAGUGUUUGUCCCUUGACUUUGCACCCUGUUGCUUACGUGUUUAGAAAGAAAGGGGAGGAAGGGAAAGAGAGAAAAGAAAAGGGGGAAGCAGUGUCAUUCUGUUUUGCUUGUUUUGGUGACUGUAUUGAUGCUAAGACCUGAAACACUUUGCUACGGUGACAGUGACACUGCUUUCCUUCUCUCCCAGCCUAGGGAAAAAGGCUGCCAUGCUAACAGUUACUGAUUCAGGGAGGGAGGGAGACUGAGUAGCAAAAUGAAAGAUAAAAAUUCAAGGAUGGUUGAGAGAGAGGGGAGCUGGGAACGGUGAGAAAAGGAAGGCAGCUUCCAGGAGGAGGUGGCUGGAGGGGCCCAGGAUGGGGAGCAGACAGAGCACAGGAGCUGCAGUGCCGGCCCCCACUUUUCCCUAAGAGAGAGUUGGGGUCCCGCCCUGGCUGUGGCCCUGGGCUCAGAGAGGCCCAACCUACUGCAGCUCUGGACUCUGCUCGGGAUUCCCGCUGAACUGAGAAGGCUGGCCGACGAGCAAGGGUCGGACCCAAAGCGCUCCACAGAAAGCCAGGCUUCUGUCUCUUCGAGAGCCACCUCUUCACCUCAGAUCUCAGGAAGGUCUGGCCCAUGGAGGAUGACAUGCGGGGACAAAGAGAGUCCAUCUCCCUCACACCCACGGCCCUCGGUGUGGAGAAUGCAGGGGCUGAGUUCUUGGAAAGCCUGGAGGAAGGCCGGCUCCCUGGUAGCAGCGACUCAAGCCCCCACCAAGGCGGGCACACUGUGGAGAGGAAGCGCCUGUGGGGAUGGAGAAGCCUGCACCGGGCCCUGCCAGGAAGACCUAGUGCACUCCUCCGAUGGAUGGGCACAGGCCUGCUCUGUGCUGCAUAUGCUGCCUUCUUGCUCGCUGCCUGCCUUCUGGACUUCCAGAGGGCUCUGGCACUUUGCAUUGUCACCUGUGUGGUCCUGACCUUCCUGGCCCACAGUCUACUGAAGAGGUGUUUGGGCCCAACGCUGAGUGGGUGUGCGAUGCUUCAGGGCAACCCUCGCCUGCACCUCUGGUUUAACCGAGCUCUCGCCCUCACUGCGGUUCUGGGCUUGGCCUUGUGGCUGGCGCUGGAUACCUCCCAGCGGCCUGAGCAGCUGGUGUCCUUCGCAGGGAUCUGCGUGAUCGUCUCUCUCCUCUUUGCCUGCUCAAAGCAUCGCCAUGCUGUCUCCUGGCAGGCCGUGACCUGGGGCCUCGGGCUCCAGUUUGUGCUUGGACUCUUCGUCAUCAGAACAGAACUCGGAUUUAUCGCAUUCCAGUGGCUGGGUGAUCAGAUCCACAUCUUCCUGAGCUACACCACAGCAGGGUCCGCCUUUGUGUUUGGGGAGGCUCUGGUCAAGGAUGUCUUCGCCUUUCAGGUUCUGCCCAUCAUUGUUUUCUUCAGCUGUGUCAUGUCAGUGCUCUACUAUAUGGGUCUGAUGCAAUGGGUGAUCUUGAAGAUUUCCUGGCUGAUGCAGAUCACCAUGGGCACCACGGCCACCGAGACCCUGAGUGUGGCAGGAAACAUCUUUGUGAGCCAGACCGAGGCCCCCCUACUGAUCCGGCCCUACCUGGCAGACAUGACACUCUCUGAGGUCCACGUGGUCAUGACUGGGGGCUAUGCCACCAUCGCCGGCAGCCUACUGGGUGCCUACAUCUCUUUUGGGAUCGACGCCAGCUCACUGAUUGCGGCGUCCGUGAUGGCCGCCCCGUGUGCCUUGGCCCUGUCCAAGCUGGUCUACCCCGAGGCGGAGGAGUCCAAGUUCCGCAGUGAAGAAGUGCGGCUGAGCUACGGGGUCCCUCUUUUGAAACCUUACCUUGCUGUGUGGGGAAUGCCCAUGAUAGCGGCUCUUGGUCCCAACAACAGAGAUGCUCAGAACCUUGUAGAAGCCCUCAGCAGUGGGGCCGCCGCCUCCGUGAAGGUCGUUGCCAACAUCGCCACCAACCUGAUCGCAUUCCUGGCUGUGCUGGCCUUCAUCAACGCAGCACUGUCCUGGCUUGGAGCCCUGGUAGACAUCCCAGGGCUCAGCUUCCAGCUCAUCUGCUCCUAUGUCCUUCGGCCAGUGGCCUUCUUGAUGGGUGUGCCCUGGGAGGACUGCCCGGUGGUGGCCGAGCUGCUGGGGACCAAGCUCUUCCUGAACGAAUUCGUGGCCUACCAGGGGCUUUCCGAGUACAAGCGGCGUCGCCUGGCCGGGGCUGAGGAGUGGGUUGGUGCCAGGAAGCAGUGGAUCUCGGUCCGAGCAGAAACCCUCACCACGUUUGCCCUCUGUGGAUUUGCCAAUGUCAGCUCCAUCGGCAUCAUGCUGGGCGGCCUGACCUCCCUGGUCCCCCAUCGGAGAAGUGACUUCGCCAGGCUUGUGCUGCGGGCACUCUUCACUGGCGCCUGUGUGUCCCUCGUCAACGCCUGUGUGGCAGGCAUCCUCUAUGUACCCAGGGGCCCCAAGUCCGGGUGCGGGGGCCUCCUGAAUCACACGCUCAGCAGCAGCAGCUUUGAAGUGUACCAGUGCUGUCGCAGAGCCUUCCAGAGCACCAGCCCAGAGUUGAGCCUAGCCUUGAGGGAAAACUGCUGUCGGUUUUACAACCACACCAUCUGUGCCUAGCAGGUGCAGGGCGCCUUCACUUCUCCCCACAGAACAUCUGUCCUCAGCUUCCCUCUCCAGGCCACUCAGCAAGUCCCAGGGCCUGGGCCUCCCCAGUGCCACAGCUGGGAAGGGACAAAGAGCACCGGAAAAAGCCCUGUAAUCCACCCCCGAAUAGCACUGGCCUGGACUAUGUGCAAUCAGCAGGAGGGCACCAAGGCUGAGGAGUUGGCCAUCUUCCAGCCCCUUCUUCUCCGGGCCUGGAUCUCACCUCUGCUGUCCCUCUGCCUUUGGCUGAAUAUUGAUGAGUCCUGAUCUCUUUCCAAAGAACAUCAUGUGCUUGAAAGGACUUCUGAUUCAGAAUCAGUGAGACCUGAGUUUGGACAGGACCAUAAUUAUCAUUUGGAGGGUGGCCACCGCCCCCCGCCAGCCUUUCUGAGAAUGUUACACCCACGGCAUGGACAGUGUCUGUCACCACAUUUUAUGUUUGAAUCAUGAGACUCCUAAGAGUGAUUCAUUGAUUGAACCAGGGCAAGGCCAAGUCCAUAUUCUUGCCAGUGGCCUCUCAGAUUCCUGAGAAAGAAUAUGAAUUAUAAAACCCAGAAACAGAGCUGAGAACUGAGUCACCACACUGAGGCCAUCUGAGAGCUGAUCUCAUGCCCACCCUUCCUGCAGGCCAGUUGUCCAGCUUUGCUUUGGAUUUGAUGAGAAUUGACUUAUUUCCAGAAAUCUCCUUUAACCUGAGCUAAUUUGGAAGGUUCCUCUUUGUAAUCAAAAGGACAUUGCCUAGGAUAGCCACUUUAUUAAACUUCCCCUCAUUUUGCUUGGGGAAAGUAGUCGUUUAUUAUUUGCUUAAAUUCCAUCAAAGUUAAGACCCUUACUUCCUCUCUGUACAAUCAACUUUAUUAGAGAGUUCUGCUUUUUAGAAUUCUUUUUAAAAAUUUGCAUCAAAAAGCACUUCAUUUUGGGGCUGGGGAUUUAGCUGAGUGGCACAGAGCCUGCCUGGCAAGUCCACGGUCCUGAGUUCAAUCCCCAGUAGCAAAAAAAAAGAGUAAUUUUGCCAUUCUGGGCCCCUCAGAAAUCUCAUCUUAUGCCUUUACUUUGUUGUUCUUUUUUCCUACUUACCAAAGAAUACUUGAUACUGUUUAAAAAGUCAGAUAUUAUAGAUAUCUUACAGGAAUAUUCUAGUCCCUUUCCACUCAGCAGCUCUUUAACUAUUUGAAGAUGGCAACCAGCCAGGUGUCCCUUCUCUGAGCCAGGGACAGUUGUUCAUCCUGCAACACACAGCAGGGGUUCAGAAUUUGCCCCAGACCUGGUUGCAAUUGUUCUGCAUUCAUAUGCAGACAGUGCAUGAGUCAUGAGUAAGUCCAAGAAACAGCCAGAACAUGGUGUGGUAAAUAUGCUCUCAUGGGUGGAACCAAGAUGAUGUGAUGGAACAAAAGGCAAGAUAUGGCCUCAGGAGGGGGCACCAAGAAGGCCAACUUGUGAGGAAGAAAGAGUGUGAAGAAGCCCACUGGUUCUUCUUGAACCUCAAACCUGAGGGCUUGGACUUGUGCGUGAAACUCGAGGAGGAACUGUCACUGUGGGAGAGAAGAAGAGAGAGUUCUGGCCCAGAUCACAAAGGGGCGUGGAGAUGGGGAACACCAGGAACUGGGUGGGUAGGACCUCAUCCAUUGGGACAUCCUACCUGCCUACAUCAAGGGUGGCAGGCAGGUCCAAACCUCCCUGGAGGUCACUUUCCAGUCCCAGCAGUGGGAGGGAAUUGCUGCUUUGGACCAGCUUCUGCCAAGAUGUGGAAUGGUGAGGCAGGAGGAGCCAUGCUGAGAGAGACUGUGUGACUAGGGGUGAAGGGGAGGCCAGCAUGCCGGGCACUUAUCCAAUGCAGUGGAUAAAGGCUUUCAGAAAAGAGACUCUGAAAGGAAAGUCCACUGUUGAAUGAAACUCUGGCUCUGCCCUAGCAAAAUAUUCCAGUGAGGAAGGAAAGGCAGAGGUGACAAGAAAUCAACAGUGCUAUAUGUGAAUAGCAGGAACCUUGCUCACAAGCUCAGAAUUUUAAAAUAAAGGCACCACAGUCUGGCUGCAGGACACUGACCCAGCAUAGAACACAGCUAAUUGUUCAGUAUCAUUGUCCCCCUUUUUGCCUUUAGUAAUAACUAAUAAAUACUCCAGCUGGGCACAUGACCUCUUGGGAUAAAGACAACAUUUCCCAGCCUUCCUUGCAGCUAGACAGCCAUGUGACUAAGUUCUGGCCAAAACGGUGAGCAGAA